rnacentral:rRNA from 1 species
AGGACGAACGCUGGCGGCGUGCUUAACACAUGCAAGUCGAGCGGUGACGCACCUUCGGGUGCUGAUCAGCGGCGAACGGGUGAGUAACACGUGGGCAACCUGCCCCUAACACUGGGAUAACCUCGGGAAACCGUGGCUAAUACCGGAUAUGACUUCAAGCGGCAUCUCUUGAAGUGUAAAGCUCCGACGGUUAGGGAUGGGCCCGCGGCCUAUCAGCUUGUUGGUGGGGUAAUGGCCUACCAAGGCGACGACGGGUAGCCGGCCUGAGAGGGCGACCGGCCACACUGGGACUGAGACACGGCCCAGACUCCUACGGGAGGCAGCAGUGGGGAAUAUUGCGCAAUGGGCGAAAGCCUGACGCAGCGACGCCGCGUGCGGGAUGAAGGCCUUCGGGUUGUAAACCGCUUUCAGCGAGGACGAAGCGAAAGUGACGGUACCUGCAGAAGAAGCACCGGCUAACGUACGUGCCAGCAGCCGCGGUAA